rnacentral:rRNA from 1 species
GUCUGCUGCCACACCACCCUGAACGCGCCCGAUCUCGCCUGAUCUUGGAAGAUAAGCAGGGUCAGGUCUGGUUAGUACUUGGAUGGGAGUACAGUCAGUAAGGAAAUGGAGAAAUUACAGUAU